rnacentral:rRNA from 1 species
UACGGGGGGGCAAGCGUUGUUCGGAAUUACUGGGCGUAAAGGGCUUGUAGGUGGCCAACUAAGUCAGACGUGAAAUCCCUCAGCUUAACUGGGAACUGCGUCUGAUACUGGAUGGCUUGAGUUUGGGAGAGGGACGCGGAAUUCCAGGUGUAGCGGUGAAAUGCGUAGAUAUCUGGAGGAACACCGGUGGCGAAGGCGGCGUCCUGGACCAACACUGACACUGAAAGCGAAGACAGGGGAGCAAACGGG